UACGUAGGGUGCGAGCGUUAAUCGGAAUUACUGGGCGUAAAGCGUGCGCAGGCGGUUCGUUGUGUCCGAUGUGAAAGCCCCGGGCUUAACCUGGGAAUGGCAUUGGAAACUGGCGAGCUUGAGUGCGGCAGAGGGGGUGGAAUUCCGCGUGUAGCAGUGAAAUGCGUAGAGAUGCGGAGGAACACCGAUGGCGAAGGCAGCCCCCUGGGUCGACACUGACGCUCAGGCACGAAAGCGUGGGGAGCAAACAGG
rnacentral:rRNA from 1 species